AGCAGCCGCGGUAAUUCCAGCUCCAAUAGCGUAUAUUAAAGUUGUUGCAGUUAAAAGCUCGUAGUUGAAUUUCGGGGUUAGUAGGUUGGUCAUGCCUCUGGUAUGUACUGGUCUCACUGAUUCCUCCUUCCUGAUGAACCUUAAUGCCAUUUAUUUGGUGUUUUGGGGAAUUUGGACUGUUACUUUGAAAAAUUAGAGUGUUUAAAGCAAGCUAACGCUUGAAUACAUUAGCAUGGAAUAAUGAAAUAGGACGUUCGAUCCUAUUUUGUUGGUUUCUAGGAUUGACGUAAUGAUUAAUAGGGAUAGUUGGGGGCAUUAGUAUUCAAUUGUCAGAGGUGAAAUUCUUGGAUUUAUUGAAGACUAACUACUGCGAAAGCAUUUGCCAAGGAUGUUUUCAUUAAUCAAGAACGAAAGUUAGGGAUCGAAGACGAUCAGAUACCGUCGUAGUCUUAACCAUAAACUAUGCCGACUAGGGAUCGGAUGAUGUUAAUUUUUAAUGACUCAUUCGGCGUCCUUACGG
rnacentral:misc_RNA from 1 species